UACGUAGGGUCCAAGCGUUGUCCGGAUUUAUUGGGCGUAAAGAGCUCGUAGGCGGUUUCGUAAGUCGGAUGUGAAAACUCAGGGCUCAACCCGGAGACGCCAUCUGAUACUGCGAUGACUUGAGUCUGGUAGGGGAACACGGAAUUCCUGGUGUAGCGGUGAAAUGCGCAGAUAUCAGGAGGAACACCGAUGGCGAAGGCAGUGUUCUGGGCCAGUACUGACGCUGAGGAGCGAAAGCGUGGGGAGCAAA
rnacentral:rRNA from 1 species